rnacentral:lncRNA from 1 species
CUGAGCUCAAGAGAUCUGCCCACCUCAGCCUCCCAAAGAGCUGGGAUUACAGGCAUGAGCCACCAUGCUUGGCCUGGACAUCUUUUAUGUGAAGAGAGGGCUUCCAGAUCAGCUAAAGUAUCAACAAGAAUGAAAAUGACACUUCAAAGGAUUUAAGUGAAGAGAGUGUCGUGAAGAUUAUUUGUAGAGAUGUGGGAUCAGAUGAGAAACACCCUGGGACCAGAAACAGCAGAAGCCCUAAUGCCUGCCAAAGGGCAAGACCAGGGUGAGCUCCUACCCACAGUAUCUGGCGAGAGCUGGAGCCCUGAGACAGGGAUGGGGCCUACUGGCACUUGGAAAGUGUACUGGGGUCUUAGUGAACUGAUGUCAUUUCCUCUUCUCUUCCCCAGGAUUUGAGAUUUCUAAAAACAACAACAACAACAACAACAACAACAACAAAACCCUAUACAAAUCUAAAUUAGUUAAAAAAAAAAAAACUAAAGUGGUUGGAUGGGAGCUAUGGCUUAGGAAGAGAAACACAGCCCAUCAAAGAGGGACUAGGGAUUUAAAUAACCCUCUCUUCUCUCUUCCUGUCCAUGCCUUCUGUUGGGUGAAACUAGCAGCCAGAAGGCAAGGGGGCCUGGGUGGAGAUGUCCAGUGGCAUUAGCCUCCCAGGUACAGAGAGAUGCAGAGAAAGAUGCAAAAUAGACCUGGAGUAGCUGAGAAUCAUCUUGUCAUUUGUCACCUAUUAGCCAGUUGCUUUGUCCAAGGCCUUGAGCCUCAGUUUUCUAUAGAGUGGGCAUCAAACUUGUCUACCUCUUGUCUGCCUCACAGGGCCAUGGGGAACAGCCAGUGAAAGUGUUAAAAUCAUUCGCUUGCCAUUUGACCCUCUUCUUCAUCUGCAUUAUCUCACUUAAUUCCUCAACAGCCGGGUAGGGUAUAAGGCAGAGAGGCCAGGGGACAAGGACAGGCAGGCACUUUGGAAUCAGAAGAAGAGGUCAUCAACUGUGGCUCAGCCAAGCUUUUUAACUGUGAGAUCAUGGGAAACUGAAGCUCUCUGAACCUCAGCUAUUGUCUUACUUUGAGCUCCCCCAAAAUCACAUCCUGAGACAAAUAUUUGAGUGCAAAUAGUUCAUUUGGGAGCUGAUCCCAGGAUGCACCAGGAGGGACUGGGCAGGGACUCAGAAAAGGGAAGAAACCCAAUUAUUGGUGUAUUCACAAGUGGGCAACUCGGUCUCAGUGCCACAACUGUGAUGAAGACUGUGCAGGACACAUCCUGGGGUUGGUGGAAUGCAGGGUGCGGGUGCUGGGGUGUUUAUUCACCACCUUCCAUCCCUCACUGGCUGAGGGUUGUUCUUGGAAGUUUUAACUCCCUGGCCAUUUCACACUGCCUGCUGUGGCCAGAGGAGACUCAAGCAGCCAGAGAGUGCCAUGGGGUGGAGACACACAGGAAGCCACAUAGAUGCCCUCCAGCAUGGGCCAGGAGGGAAUGUCUGGGGGACCGACAGCAUCCGUUUUGUUUUUCUAAUUUGUAUGCUAGAGAUGAUGUCUAUGUCACAGGACAGUGACAGAGAUGAAAUGAUUAAUGAUUAAAUGGCUAAAUGUCUUCCAAGUGCCUGGCUCAUAGUAGGUAUCCAAAGAAAAGGAGGCAUUCAUAGUAAAGAUGGGUAAAUAUUCAUGUGUUACAGAUGGAAGCAAAUGGGACUCAAAGAAGUUAAGACAUUUGCCCUAAAUCACACAGACAGUUCUUAAAUGGCCAAGUCAGAUCUGGCCCCAGUUUGUUCCCCUUCCACUCUGCCGUGGCUACCUCCUGUUAAUGGACUAUACAUUUAGAGUGCUUUUGCCUCAUAAAGUGUGUGAAGCUCCAUAAAUAUAAAAUGUUUGUAGUCCCAGCCUUGCUAGCUCAAAUCCAAGUUAAAUUGACUCUUGGGUAGUUCUUCUCUCAGCCCCAAUUCUCAUAAGCUCAAAUAUAUAUUUUCUUAGUCCCCUGGGAUCCUCCAUUCUGUGCCCCAACAAUCCCUAACCCUUCAUUAGUAAUGCCUAGAUGUCUCCACAUAUUUCAAGGGGUGCCAGAAAGUCUCCAGACAAAAUAAAAGAUGCCAUAAAACACCAAGUGCAUAAAACUCUAGACACCUUGUUCUCCAUGUCAUGUUUCCUUUUAAAAACAAAUAUUUUGAAAUGCCCUCUUUACUAUCCUGCUGAUACACACAUAAAAACUAAUAAAAUGCACAAACUCUUUUCUUAAAAAUUGUGGGAAGAUAUACAUAAUAAAAAAUUUACCAUUUUAACC